AGAAUUUGAUCUUGGUUCAGAUUGAAUGCUGACGGCGUGGAUGAGGCAUGCAAGUCGAACGAAAAAUAGAGUGCUUGCACACUAUUUUUAGUGGCGGAAGAGUUAGUAAUAGAUGAACAACCUGCCGGUUACCUGGGGAUAACCAUUGGAAACAGUGGCUAAUACCGAAUGAAGUAUCUUUAAGGCAUCUUAGAGAUAUAAAAGGAGGGAUACUUCCGGUAAUUGAGGGGUUCAUGAGAUAUCAGCUAGUUGGAGUGGUAAAGGCACACCAAGGCAAUGACGUCUAGGCGGGCUGAGAGGUUGACCGCCAACACUGGGACUGAGACACUGUCCAGACUUCUACGGGAGGCUGCAGUCGAGGAUCAUUCGCAAUGGGCGAAAGCCUGACGAUGCGACGCCGUGUGAACGAAGAAGGCCCUUGGGUUGUAAAGUUCUUUCGCUUGGGAGCAAGAGAUAAGUAUGAAUAAUGCUUAGAUUUGAGAGUACCAGGUAAAGAAGCACCGGCUAACUCCGUGCCAGCAGCUGCGGUAAUACGGAGGGUGCAAGCAUUAAUCGGAAUUAUUGGGCGUAAAGAGCGCGUAGGUGGUUUUGUAAGUCUUUGCUGAAAUUUCAAAGCUUAACUUUGAAGCUGGCAAAGAAACUGUAAGACUAGAGGAUAUGCGGAGAAGACGGAAUUUCACGUGUAGCGGUGAAAUGCGUAGAUAUGUGAAGGAACACCGGUGGCGAAGGCGGUUUUCUAGCAUAAACCUGACACUGAGGCGCGAAAGCAAGGGGAGCAAACAGGAUUAGAUACCCUGGUAGUCCUUGCCGUAAACGAUGUAUACUUGAUGUAGAUGGACUCAACCCUGUCUGUGUCGAAGCAAACGCGAUAAGUAUACCGCCUGAGGAGUACGCUCGCAAGGGUGAAACUCAAAAGAAUUGACGGGGACCCGCACAAGCGGUGGAGUAUGUGGUUUAAUUCGAUGCUACGCGAAGAACCUUACCCAGGUUUGACAUGCACAUGACCGCACCAGAAAUGGUGUUUUCCGCAAGGACAUGUGUGCAGGUGCUGCAUGGCUGUCGUCAGCUCGUGCCGUGAGGUGUUGGGUUAAGUCCCGCAACGAGCGCAACCCUUAUCGUUAGUUGCCAACAUUUAAGGUGGGGACUCUAACGAGACUGCCUGGGUGAACCAGGAGGAAGGUGAGGAUGACGUCAAGUCAGCAUGGCCCUUAUGUCUGGGGCUACACACGUACUACAAUGGUCGGUACAGAAGGCGGCAAAACCGAAAGGUCGAGCAAAUCCUAGAAAACCGAUCUCAGUUCGGAUUGUAGACUGCAAUUUGUCUACAUGAAGUUGGAAUUGCUAGUAAUGGCGUGUCAGCAAUAACGCUGUGAAUACGUUCCCGGGUCUUGUACACACCGCCCGUCACAUCAUGGAAGUUGGUUUUACCCGAAGUCUCUGACUAAACCCGCAAGGGGUAGAAGAGCCUAAGGUGAGGCCGAUGACUGGGAUGAAGUCGUAACAAGGUA
rnacentral:rRNA from 1 species